AACGUAGGACGCGAGCGUUAUCCGGAGUUACUGGGCGUAAAGCGCGGGCAGGCGGCCAUGCAAGUCUGAUGUGAAAGCGCCCGGCUCAACCGGGCGAGGCCAUUGGAAACUGCAGGGCUGGAGGGCAGCAGAGGUGGGCGGAAUUCCGGGUGGAGUGGUGAAAUGCGUAGAGAUCCGGAGGAACACCAGAGGCGAAGGCGGCCCACUGGGCUGCACCUGACGCUGAGCCGCGAAAGCCAGGGGAGCGAACGGG
rnacentral:rRNA from 1 species